rnacentral:rRNA from 1 species
CACGUAGGGGACGAGCGUUGUCCGGAUUCAUUGGGCGUAAAGCGCGCGUAGGCGGCUCGGAAAGUCGGGCGUGAAAUGCCGGGGCUCAACCCCGGGACUGCGUCCGAUACUGUCGGACUAGAGUCCGGAAGAGGCAAGUGGAAUUCCCGGUGUAGCGGUGAAAUGCGCAGAUAUCGGGAGGAACACCAAUUGCGAAGGCAGCUUGCUGGGACGGUACUGACGCUGAGGCGCGAAAGCGUGGGGAGCAAACAGG